GGUUGGACGAGAUAUAAGCUGUUUCAUUUAAAAUUUAUAUAGAAUUUUAUUUUUUAGUUAAAAAGCUAAAAUAUGAUCAAAAGACGAGAAGACCCUAUAAAUCUUAAUUAUUUAAUAAUUUUUAAUUUAUUUUGGUUUUUUUUGUUAUAAAUUUAUUAAAUAAUUUUAUUGGGGUGAUAUUAAAAUUUAAAUAACUUUUAAUAAUUUUUGUCAUUUAUUUAUGAUUAAGUGAUCCAUUAUUAGUGAUUAAAAAAUUAAGUUACUUUAGGGAUAACAGCGUAAUUUUUUUGGAGAGUUCUUAUCGAUAAAAAAGUUUGCGACCUCGAUGUUGGAUUAAGAUUCAUAUUUAAAUGCAGAAGUUUAAAUAUUAAGUCUGUUCGACUUUUUAUUCUUACAUGAUCUGAGUUCAAACCGGUGUAAGCCAGGUUGGUUUCUAUCUUUGAUUUAAUAAAAUAUUUUAGUACGAAAGGAAUUAAUAUUUAU
rnacentral:rRNA from 1 species